UAUAGGUAAAACCUUCAUUACAAGAUUGAGUUGGCAAAUGUUAACUCGGAAAAGAUGCACUGGGUUGAUACCAUUGCUAGUGGACUAUCAGUCUCCGAGGUAUCAUCAACGCAGUAGUCAGUACUUCGAUGAACAAAUGUUAAGAAGAUGAAGAGAUUUGAGAAAAGAUCACUCGAAUUAGAAUGAAAAUGUGCUUGUUUGAAUUUCUGAUAGCGCUAUAUUUUACAGUGUGUAUAGCUUUUAAACGAAAUUGCCCAGAACCUUCAGAGAGAGAAUUGAGAGCCAUAGCAUUUUGUAAUAAAUCUUCAUCAGUGACCUAUUCAUGUUUGUAUGACGAAAAUAGAGGUGUAAACGUAGAAUCAUGCAAAGCAACGGUAGACUUUGCCCCGCCAGGUAAUAAAUAUGUACAAAGAGGACAACCCGAUUUUACACCAUGUGCCAGAAAUCGGUAUCAGCCGAUCCGUUUGUGGUCAAAUGUUAGCGAUCAAUGUUUAUUUGAGAAGUCACAGUGUGCUGGCGAUGGUCAAUUUCUGUAUAAUAAUGGUACAACUGAAUCCGAUCGAUCCUGCCGAUGUGAUUAUACUAAUGGAUAUGCUUUUAUUAACAAACCAAGACAUCCAUGCUUUUGUAUUCCUUCAGAGGAGGAAUGCAGUUGCUACAAAAAGUACUGUCCGAAUAAUACAGUUCUAACACCCGGUAAGAUAAGGAACGCAUUUUUUGGAUUUUCGGUAAAAGGCGUAGCUAAAUAUGCAUACUUGGUACUUAAAUACAGAGACGUAACCAAUGGAGAUUGAACAGUGUAUUGAUUGCUAAUUUCAACCUUCCACAGCCUUUUGCUUCUAUAGAUACAAUCGUUACUGACA